GGAUCCUUGGCAGCUUGCUGCCGGGGUGAGAGUGGCGAACGGGUGAGUAAUGCGUGACCGACCUGCCCCAUGCACCGGAAUAGCUCCUGGAAACGGGUGGUAAUGCCGGAUGUUCCACAUGAGCGCAUGCGAGUGUGGGAAAGGCUUUUUGCGGCAUGGGAUGGGGUCGCGUCCUAUCAGCUUGUUGGUGGGGUAACGGCCUACCAAGGCGUUGACGGGUAGCCGGCCUGAGAGGGCGACCGGCCACAUUGGGACUGAGAUACGGCCCAGACUCCUACGGGAGGCAGCAGUGGGGAAUAUUGCACAAUGGGCGCAAGCCUGAUGCAGCGACGCCGCGUGCGGGAUGGAGGCCUUCGGGUUGUAAACCGCUUUUGUUCAAGGGCAAGGCACGGUUUCGGCCGUGUUGAGUGGAUUGUUCGAAUAAGCACCGGCUAACUACGUGCCAGCAGCCGCGGUAAUACGUAGGGUGCAAGCGUUAUCCGGAUUUAUUGGGCGUAAAGGGCUCGUAGGCGGUUCGUCGCGUCCGGUGUGAAAGUCCAUCGCUUAACGGUGGAUCCGCGCCGGGUACGGGCGGGCUUGAGUGCGGUAGGGGAGACUGGAAUUCCCGGUGUAACGGUGGAAUGUGUAGAUAUCGGGAAGAACACCAAUGGCGAAGGCAGGUCUCUGGGCCGUUACUGACGCUGAGGAGCGAAAGCGUGGGGAGCGAACAGGAUUAGAUACCCUGGUAGUCCACGCCGUAAACGGUGGAUGCUGGAUGUGGGGCCCUUUUUCCG
rnacentral:rRNA from 1 species